rnacentral:rRNA from 1 species
AUUGAACGCUGGCGGCAGGCCUAACACAUGCAAGUCGAGCGCGAAAGUCUUCGGAUGAGUAAAGCGGCGGACGGGUGAGUAAUGCAUGGGAAUCUGCCUGGUAGUGGGGGACAACGUUUCGAAAGAGACGCUAAUACCGCAUACGCCCUACGGGGGAAAGGGGGGGAUCUUCGGACCUCUCGCUAUCAGAUGAGCCCAUGUCAGAUUAGCGAGUUGGUAGGGUAAAGGCCUACCAAGGCGACGAUCUGUAACUGGUCUGAGAGGAUGAUCAGUCACACUGGAACUGAGACACGGUCCAGACUCCUACGGGAGGCAGCAGUGGGGAAUAUUGGACAAUGGGGGCAACCCUGAUCCAGCCAUACCGCGUGUGUGAAGAAGGCCCUAGGGUUGUAAAGCACUUUCAGUGGGGAGAAAGGUUGUUCAGUUAAUACCUGAAUGAAUUGAUGUUACCCACAGAAGAAGCACCGGCUAACUCCGUGCCAGCCGCCGCGGUAA